GACGAACUGUCCUAACGUUGUUCGGAAUCACUGGGCUUAAAGGGCGCGUAGGCGGUCCGACAAGUCAGGGGUGAAAUCCUGCAGCUUAACUGCAGAAGUGCCUUUGAUACUGUCGGUCUUGAGGGAGAUAGGGGUGUGCGGAACUCACAGUGGAGCGGUGAAAUGCGUUGAUAUUGUGAGGAACGCCGGAGGCGAAAGCGGCGCACUGGAUCUCUUCUGACGCUGAGGCGCGAAAGCUAGGGGAGCGAACGGG
rnacentral:rRNA from 1 species